GAUGAACGCUGGCGGCGUGCCUAAUACAUGCAAGUCGAGCGAACAGACGAGGAGCUUGCUCCUCUGACGUUAGCGGCGGACGGGUGAGUAACACGUGGAUAACCUACCCAUAAGACUGGGAUAACUUCGGGAAACCGGAGCUAAUACCGGAUAAUAUAUUGAACCGCAUGGUUCAAUAGUGAAAGACGGUUUUGCUGUCACUUAUAGAUGGAUCCGCGCCGCAUUAGCUAGUUGGUAAGGUAACGGCUUACCAAGGCAACGAUGCGUAGCCGACCUGAGAGGGUGAAUGGGCAAAAUGGAACCUAGAAACGGUUCAGGCCCCUACGGGAGGCAACAGUAGGGAAACCUCCGGAAAGGGGGGAAAGCCGGACGAGGCACGCCGGGGGGAGGAAGGAGGUCCUCGGAUCGUAAAACUCUGUUAUUAGGGAAGAACAAAUGUGUAAGUAACUAUGCACGUCUUGACGGUACCUAAUCAGAAAGCCACGGCUAACUACGUG
rnacentral:rRNA from 1 species